CGCGGCCUAUCAGCUUGUUGGUGGGGUGAUGGCCUACCAAGGCGACGACGGGUAGCCGGCCUGAGAGGGUGACCGGCCACACUGGGACUGAGACACGGCCCAGACUCCUACGGGAGGCAGCAGUGGGGAAUAUUGCACAAUGGGCGGAAGCCUGAUGCAGCGACGCCGCGUGGGGGAUGACGGCCUUCGGGUUGUAAACCCCUUUCGCCCGGGACGAAGCGAGAGUGACGGUACCGGGAGAAGAAGCACCGGCCAACUACGUGCCAGCAGCCGCGGUAAUACGUAGGGUGCAAGCGUUGUCCGGAAUUAUUGGGCGUAAAGAGCUCGUAGGCGGUUUGUCGCGUCUGCUGUGAAAACUGGAGGCUCAACCUUCAGCCUGCAGUGGGUACGGGCAGACUAGAGUGCGGUAGGGGAGAUUGGAAUUCCUGGUGUAGCGGUGGAAUGCGCAGAUAUCAGGAGGAACACCGAUGGCGAAGGCAGAUCUCUGGGCCGUAACUGACGCUGAGGAGCGAAAGAGUGGGGAGCAAACAGGCUUAGAUACCCUGGUAGUCCACUCCGUAAACGUUGGGAACUAGUUGUGGGGGCCUUUCCACGGUCUCCGUGACGCAGCUAACGCAUUAAGUUCCCCGCCUGGGGAGUACGG
rnacentral:rRNA from 1 species